GGUUAAGCGACUAAGCGUACACGGUGGAUGCCCUGGCAGUCAGAGGCGAUGAAGGACGUGCUAAUCUGCGAUAAGCGUCGGUGAGGUGAUAUGAACCGUUAUAACCGGCGAUUUCCGAAUGGGGAAACCCAGUGUGAUUCGUCACACUAUCAUUAACUGAAUCCAUAGGUUAAUGAGGCGAACCGGGGGAACUGAAACAUCUAAGUACCCCGAGGAAAAGAAAUCAACCGAGAUUCCCCCAGUAGCGGCGAGCGAACGGGGAGGAGCCCAGAGCCUGAAUCAGUGUGUGUGUUAGUGGAAGCGUCUGGAAAGGCGCGCGAUACAGGGUGACAGCCCCGUACACAAAAAUGCACAUAUUGUGAGCUCGAUGAGUAGGGCGGGACACGUGGUAUCCUGUCUGAAUAUGGGGGGACCAUCCUCCAAGGCUAAAUACUCCUGACUGACCGAUAGUGAACCAGUACCGUGAGGGAAAGGCGAAAAGAACCCCGGCGAGGGGAGUGAAAAAGAACCUGAAACCGUGUACGUACAAGCAGUGGGAGCCUCUUAAUGGGGUGACUGCGUACCUUUUGUAUAAUGGGUCAGCGACUUAUAUUCUGUAGCAAGGUUAACCGAAUAGGGGAGCCGAAGGGAAACCGAGUCUUAACUGGGCGUUAAGUUGCAGGGUAUAGACCCGAAACCCGGUGAUCUAGCCAUGGGCAGGUUGAAGGUUGGGUAACACUAACUGGAGGACCGAACCGACUAAUGUUGAAAAAUUAGCGGAUGACUUGUGGCUGGGGGUGAAAGGCCAAUCAAACCGGGAGAUAGCUGGUUCUCCCCGAAAGCUAUUUAGGUAGCGCCUCGUGAAUUCAUCUCCGGGGGUAGAGCACUGUUUCGGCAAGGGGGUCAUCCCGACUUACCAACCCGAUGCAAACUGCGAAUACCGGAGAAUGUUAUCACGGGAGACACACGGCGGGUGCUAACGUCCGUCGUGAAGAGGGAAACAACCCAGACCGCCAGCUAAGGUCCCAAAGUCAUGGUUAAGUGGGAAACGAUGUGGGAAGGCCCAGACAGCCAGGAUGUUGGCUUAGAAGCAGCCAUCAUUUAAAGAAAGCGUAAUAGCUCACUGGUCGAGUCGGCCUGCGCGGAAGAUGUAACGGGGCUAAACCAUGCACCGAAGCUGCGGCAGCGACACUAUGUGUUGUUGGGUAGGGGAGCGUUCUGUAAGCCUGUGAAGGUGGCCUGUGAGGGUUGCUGGAGGUAUCAGAAGUGCGAAUGCUGACAUAAGUAACGAUAAAGCGGGUGAAAAGCCCGCUCGCCGGAAGACCAAGGGUUCCUGUCCAACGUUAAUCGGGGCAGGGUGAGUCGACCCCUAAGGCGAGGCCGAAAGGCGUAGUCGAUGGGAAACAGGUUAAUAUUCCUGUACUUGGUGUUACUGCGAAGGGGGGACGGAGAAGGCUAUGUUGGCCGGGCGACGGUUGUCCCGGUUUAAGCGUGUAGGCUGGUUUUCCAGGCAAAUCCGGAAAAUCAAGGCUGAGGCGUGAUGACGAGGCACUACGGUGCUGAAGCGACAAAUGCCCUGCUUCCAGGAAAAGCCUCUAAGCAUCAGGUAACAUCAAAUCGUACCCCAAACCGACACAGGUGGUCAGGUAGAGAAUACCAAGGCGCUUGAGAGAACUCGGGUGAAGGAACUAGGCAAAAUGGUGCCGUAACUUCGGGAGAAGGCACGCUGAUAUGUAGGUGAAGCGACUUGCUCGUGGAGCUGAAAUCAGUCGAAGAUACCAGCUGGCUGCAACUGUUUAUUAAAAACACAGCACUGUGCAAACACGAAAGUGGACGUAUACGGUGUGACGCCUGCCCGGUGCCGGAAGGUUAAUUGAUGGGGUUAGCGGUAACGCGAAGCUCUUGAUCGAAGCCCCGGUAAACGGCGGCCGUAACUAUAACGGUCCUAAGGUAGCGAAAUUCCUUGUCGGGUAAGUUCCGACCUGCACGAAUGGCGUAAUGAUGGCCAGGCUGUCUCCACCCGAGACUCAGUGAAAUUGAACUCGCUGUGAAGAUGCAGUGUACCCGCGGCAAGACGGAAAGACCCCGUGAACCUUUACUAUAGCUUGACACUGAACAUUGAGCCUUGAUGUGUAGGAUAGGUGGGAGGCUUUGAAGUGUGGACGCCAGUCUGCAUGGAGCCGACCUUGAAAUACCACCCUUUAAUGUUUGAUGUUCUAACGUGGGCCCCUUACCGGGGUUGCGGACAGUGUCUGGUGGGUAGUUUGACUGGGGCGGUCUCCUCCUAAAGAGUAACGGAGGAGCACGAAGGUUGGCUAAUCCUGGUCGGACAUCAGGAGGUUAGUGCAAUGGCAUAAGCCAGCUUGACUGCGAGCGUGACGGCGCGAGCAGGUGCGAAAGCAGGUCAUAGUGAUCCGGUGGUUCUGAAUGGAAGGGCCAUCGCUCAACGGAUAAAAGGUACUCCGGGGAUAACAGGCUGAUACCGCCCAAGAGUUCAUAUCGACGGCGGUGUUUGGCACCUCGAUGUCGGCUCAUCACAUCCUGGGGCUGAAGUAGGUCCCAAGGGUAUGGCUGUUCGCCAUUUAAAGUGGUACGCGAGCUGGGUUUAGAACGUCGUGAGACAGUUCGGUCCCUAUCUGCCGUGGGCGCUGGAGAACUGAGGGGGGGCUGCUCCUAGUACGAGAGGACCGGAGUGGACGCAUCACUGGUGUUCGGGUUGUCAUGCCAAUGGCACUGCCCGGUAGCUAAAUGCGGAAGAGAUAAGUGCUGAAAGCAUCUAAGCACGAAACUUGCCCCGAGAUGAGUUCUCCCUGACUCCUUGAGAGUCCUGAAGGAACGUUGAAGACGACGACGUUGAUAGGCCGGGUGUGUAAGCGCAGCGAUGCGUUGAGCUAACCGGUACUAAUGAACCGUGAGGCUUAACCUU
rnacentral:rRNA from 1 species